GGAUCAGUCCCAGAAUGACCAUUUCAGCUGAGGCAGUCCAGAUGACAGAGCUCCAGCUGACUCCAGGCCAGUUCAGCGGGGAGAAGCACAGCUGAGACCUGCAGCAGGGAAUCCUUGUGUGGAGCUUGAGUCCAGGCUGGGGCUGAUCGCUGGCAGGACCAUCCCUCAUCCUGAUACCGCAUGGAGCUAGCCCCAGCGACUCACUGUCACCUCCAAUCUGCCCUGAAGAAGUAGUGCUGCUCAAAGGGCGUACUAUAACCUCUUGUCUUGUGACAAUGGUCGCAGCUCUUCACCACUACCCAAUCUCGCUUUGCAGGCACCUCUCCUCUUCAUUCAUCACACAGCCUGAGCAAGUGACCGGGGAAUGACCUCGCUUGCACGCACACACAAAACACUUUGUACACACACACACACACACACACACACAAAUCCACAAACACGGUAUCAACUCGCACAAAAGCAUGAUUCAUUUAUCACAAACGAUGGAUACCUUGGAACACAUGCUCAAACAUGCACGUGCAUACGCUCACACAUAGACACACACCUAAAUGCACGCACACUCACACGUGGCGGUUCCUAUCACAUCCGUUACAGAUGGGUUCUCCUCCUCCUCAGUCCUAAAUGAAUAUAAAUAUGUCUGUUUGACAUCAUUCAUCUGCCAGAGAGGAGCACAUUUACCGUAUCCAGCCAAAAGAGGCAGUGUUACUCUCUCCUCCGCUGGGGAGGCAUGCAUAUGGAAAAAGGGAACCUGGAAAGGAGAAUGGGAGAAGGGAUGAAAAGACUCGCAGAGAUAAGGAUGAUCCAAGGGCAUCCAAUAAGCCUGCUUGCAUUCACAAUAAAGCAUUUGAAAGCCCAUUAGCUGCACUUUCCAGCGCCGUAAAGCCAACAGCAAUCUGAUAUCAUCAGUAACAGUCCGUGAGAAGAUGACGUCCAGACGACAAGUGAGAUGUGGACAGACUAAAGGAGCUGAGAGGAGGAAGAGAUAUCGGUGAUGGGAACAAAUUGGAACAAAAUGGCGGGUGAUAUGCCACUGGGACAUGCUUAGGGAGAUGUCAUACAGGCCAGUGGCAAGAAUUUACAGAAGAAGGCAUAUCAUAAUCAUGUGGUGUCAUAGAUAAUAAUCGAUUAAGGAAGUUAUCCUCUGCAUGUUAUUUAUGUUGGGAAUUGAAAAAGAAAGUAAUACACCUGUUGAGAGACGUGUCGUGUCAGAUGUAAAAGACGUUUCAGGUCAUGAAAAGAUCCUUUCAGUUAUCAUCUGAACACCAUUAAA